UUUUCUUUUCUUUUCUUUUCUUUUACAAAAAAAAAAUAAGGCAGCUUUUUGCCCCACAGAAAUUAGUCUGAAGAGAUAAUGGAAGAUAUAGGAGGGAGAAGGAUUAAACAGGAGACUUCUCAUCACUUGUUUAUUUUUUUUCAGUGUGGCAUAUUUAAUAGUAGUUGAACUUACAUUAACCAACUCUAUUGAUUCCUUUCUCCCCUUCGUUAACAGUUUACUUGGUAAUUUUUUUGUAUUCCAGUUGUUCCCGUAGUGUGCCUGCCCUGUUCUUAAAUGGCUGGUGAUCCAAGGACACAAGAAAAGUAAAGUGUCCUUUGACCACAUGCAGAAGGAAGAUUGCAAUAUUCCACCUGGUAAAUCAACACAAUUGUGGAUUUUGAUUCUUCCACUGAAUGGCAGUGAUAUCUCUCCGCAGUAAUAGUGCGAGCCAGAGCCAAGCCAGCGGGCAGCAGGCAGGCAUAGAUGAAAAAUGGAGAAGCUAAAAUGCAGAGGAUCAACAUUGUGACCCUUUAUCCAUCCAUCAAGCCAGUCUGCAGAGGCCAAAAUAUAACCAAAGUUUCCUGAAUCCCAGACCAGCACUCUGGGUAACUCUGAGGCAUGCAGGUUGGGGGGUUUUGACAGCUUGGAGGGAGCCACAUUGCCUAAAUCGCAGCUCCUGACAAGUGGAAGUGCCACAUUCAGCAACAACAAAACGACACAGGCCUUCAGAGAGAGGGACUUCAAGUGCUGUCGUUACCUGCUGCAGAGCAGGUUCCAGGUUCCUCUGGAAACACUGAGGACGUUUCUCACGGAGGUGGUGUGGCCUGCUUUGAUUUUUAUGCAGCACCAGCAAAAGGUUGGCUAUAAUCUGGCAGUGAAACAUUGCUCGGGGCUGCCACUCCAGCAAGGGAUGUGA
rnacentral:lncRNA from 1 species